rnacentral:rRNA from 1 species
UAAGCCGCGUGUGUUAAGAACGCUGCGGUUUGUAAAGCACUUUUAGUGGGGAGAAAAAGCUACGGGCCAAUACCCUGUGGUCUUGAUUUAACCCAAAGAAAAAGCACAGGCUAACUCUGUGCCAGCAGCCGCGGUAAUACAGAGGGUGCAAGCGUUAAUCGGAAUUACUGGGCGUAAAGCGUGCGUAGACGGUUGUUUAAGUCGGAUGUGAAAGCCCCGGGCUCAACCUGGGAAUUGCAUUCGAGACUGAACAGCUAGGGUGCGGAAGAGGGAAGCGGAAUUACCGGUGUAGCAGUGAAAUGCGUAGAUAUCGGAAGGACCAUCAGUGGCGAAAGCGGCUUCCUGGUCCAGAACCGACGUUCAGGCACGAAAGCGUGGGGAGCAAACAGGAUUAGAUACCCUGGUAGUCCACGCCAUAAACGAUGAGGACUAGACGUAGGAAGGGUUAGCCUUACAGUGUCGAAGCUAACGCGAUAAGUCCUCUGCCUGGGG